CCUACGGGAGGCAGCAGUGAGGAAUAUUGGUCAAUGGCCGGAAGGCUGAACCAGCCAAGCCGCGUGAAGGACGAAGGUGCCAAGCAUUGUAAACUUCUUUUGUCAAGGGAUAAAAUUAGGCUUGAAAGCCUGUUCGUGGGUACUUGAUGAAAAAGCAUCGGCUAACUCCGUGCCAGCAGCCGCGGUAAUACGGAGGAUGCGGGCGUUAUCCGGAUUUAUUGGGUUUAAAGGGAGCGUAGGCGGGCUGUUAAGUCAGCGGUAAAAGCCCGGGGCUCAACCCGGGCGAGCCGUUGGAACUGGCUGUCUUGAGAUGGCGAGAGGUAUGCGGAAUGCGCAGUGUAGCGGUGAAAUGCUUAGAUAUCGCGCAGAACUCCGAUUGCGAAGGCAGCAUACCGUCGGCGUUCUGACGCUGAGGCACGAAGGCGUGGGUAUCGAACAGGAUUAGAUACCCCUGUAGUC
rnacentral:rRNA from 1 species